GUCGAUUUUUCAGCAUAUACGCGAGGAGUGCUGACAGAAAAAAAUUCAGAGAGGAUCACGCCCAAUAUUUAACUCCGCUGGUACGGUACGGGAUACACCAACACUGAUAGAUCAGGCGCGGCGUGCCAGCCGAUCCAAAUAAAGCCUUGUAGUGUACAAUCUCAAGGAUGAGGGAGUGAAGAACGGACACAUGAGGCAUGGUUUGUCCCGGGAGUUUCUUAUCAUAAUCCAAGUAACCCAAAUUACAAAUGAUUUAUGUCAGAAACAGAGGGGCAUGCAUUACAUAAUAAUUCGUAGCUUCAUUGCUGACUAUAUCCCACACUUCUCUCUAUGUAUAUGGUAAUAUCAUAACAGUGUGAACCCCUAGCUGGCCAAGACGGUCGGGGACCUGUAACAUUGAAGAGAAUCGAUCAGAUUGCCAGCACAACAGUCAAAAGAUCACGGAGUGCAUCCUCGAGGCAUUCGUUGAUUUCUUGCUCGUCCGGCUUCCAGUCCAAAUGCCUCCUAGGUCCUUGCGCCGAAGAAUU